rnacentral:lncRNA from 1 species
CCUGUGUUCCCAGGGGCUCCCCGCGCGGGACUCUUGCUUCCUGCUUGCGUCCGGCCGGCCCCGCGUGCGGUGGCUAGCGGUGUCCGUCCUGUAUCCCCCAUGGCGGUCGUCGGGCCGCGUCGCCUGCCUCUGCGUCUGCGGCGGCGAGCCCGGUGAGUGGUCGGAGAAAUUGACUUGGAUCUCCCUGCGGUUCCCGUACGGCGUGUGACCUUGGGUUAUCUACGCUUCUACUGAGCCUCAGUUUCUCCAUCAGAACAAUGGCUCUGUACAAGACAGCGAGGCCUCCUUAGCCUGUUCCCAAAGACUCGGUGCAAGGUUACUGGUGUCGAGUAUGGUCUCUGGUCAGUUAUGUUUGGGGAGAAAGAAUCACUGGAGUUCGUUUUUGUGAGUGCAGAGUACUAACCUAGGGAUUGAAUAGAAGACACCCUUGCCGACCUGACCUACUACUUACUAUUCAUCCUCCCACCUCGUCGCACUGAUCCUGACCAGGACUUGAAAUUUGUGGCACUACCUCGUCGUUUCCACUAGGUGGCACUAUCACAAAGGACAACGGAGGGUCCUGAAAGCCAGCGCUGCAAACUGCAGGUGCCAGCCUGUUGUAAGGCCUGAUAGCUUUGGAGCCAAUUCACCUUGUGAGCCAUUGGCCUGACCGCCGUCACCACCUUUAUGUUUGUUGGAAGCUGACUGUACCUUGGUGCUGGGCUACUGAUACACUCCAUGAUGCUAGCAGAAAGCUUUAAUUGGCCAAGUUCAACUCUGGAUGUUUAAAGAAAUUAGUGUUCUUUGAGCCUUGGUGGGUGGUGGUGGAGGGGAUGCUGGUUUUCUUGUGAUGGGAGCAGCCUGAACAUUUACCUGCAUACCAUCUUUGUGCCUAUGUCCACAAGCUGGAAGCAUAAAAUACCGGGGUAAGCCAGUCCUAGCAGUACAGGAUUGUAGUCCCAACUACCAAGAGAGUCAGAAGUCAAGACCUACCUGGAUAACUUAGUAAACUCCUGCCUUGGUCAAUAACUAAUAAGAGCUGGUGAUGUGGUAGAACGCUUGCCUAGAAAGUAGAAGCCCUGAAUUUGACACCCCCCUCAUCACACACAAAAAGAGUUAAGUAUAAAAAGUCUAAUUUAUCAAGCAUUCCCUGAGCCAGGAAUAUUGAGCAAAUAUUCCUAACCCUCUUAACGCCAUUGCAAGGUGAGCAUUUUAACCCCUAUUUUAUAGAUAAAGGUCAGAAUCUAUAGCUACUGAGCAGAACUUCUGGGUCUGUCUCCAUGUCCUCUACCCUGUUUUGUCUGCUUGCCUGCUUCCUUUAUUUCUUUUGUUAUUGUCAGGGUCUUGCUGUAUAGCCCAGGCUGGCCUGGAUUUCAUUCUCUUGUCUCAACUUCCCAGUGCUUAUAUAGGCAAGCAUGCACUACCUUGCUCAACUCCUCUAUUCUGCCAGCCCCACAUGCUUCCUUUUAGAACUUUUCAGACCACAUGACCUUUAGCCCUUACCCAAGGCACUGGAACUUGAGGUCUUCCUCUCAGCCUUCAAGUACUGAAAUUAUAUGUUCUUGCACCAGG